UUUUGUAUUAAAGGGAGGAUAAGUGAAUUAGAGAAGUGGUAAGAAGGAAAGCUGUUCAAAUGUGGUGAAAGAACUAACUGAACACGUUUGAGUAGAAUUAAAUACUGAACAUGUGAUUGAGGAAUGUGAUUGAGGUGGAGUUUAAGUAGUCAGAACAUUUUUGGUUAAUUUUGGGGAGGAGAAGUGAUUAGUGCGGUGGUAAGAGAGCUAAUUUGACACGUUUCAGUACAUGUUAAUUAGAGUUCGUGUGGUUUGGUCUGAUAUAAGUUACAGCUGAGUGGUAAGAAUUUAAAUUAGGAAACCUUGCAUUUUGGGGAAGAUAAGACGUAAUGAAAAGUUGUAAAGCACCUAAUUAAACACGUCUGAGUACAUAUAAUUAGCGAUCAUGUGGUUUAAUGUGAUACACCAAGAGUUAAGAAUAUUUUUUUGUUAAUUAAGAAAGUCAGUGUUUUGGAGGGAGAAUGAGUAAUGAUAUGUGUUAAUACAGGUAAUUUUACACGUGUGAGUUGAAAUUAAUUAGUGUUAAUGAAUUGUAUUUUGAUAUAAGCUGGAACUCAAAAGGUCAGAAUAGCUUGAUAUUACUAAGUGGCUUUCGCUGACAAGUUUGGGAUUCGUUAUUAGUGUAUUAUGAUGGAUUAGAAGAGAUAGUAGCGUUUAGUGGAGUUGGACAGAGAUAACGAAAAAUUUAGAAGAGUUUGACAGAGGGAGGAUGAGGAAUUUAGUGGAGUUUGAGAGAGAUAACGAGGAAUUUAGUGGAGUUUGAGAGAGAUAACGAGGAAUUUAGUGGAGUUUGAGAGAGAUAACGAGGAAUUUAGUGGAGUUUGAGAGAGAUAACGAGGAAUUUAGUGGAGUUUGAGAGAGAUAACGAGGAAUUUAGUGGAGUUUGAGAGAGAUAACGAGGAAUUUAGUGGAGUUUGAGAGAGAUAACGAGGAAUUUAGUGGAGUUU